rnacentral:rRNA from 1 species
GACGUAGGGCGCGAGCGUUGUCCGGAUUUAUUGGGCGUAAAGAGCUCGUAGGCGGCUUGUCGCGUCGAAUGUGAAAACUCGGGGCUCAACUCCGAGCUUGCAUUCGAUACGGGCAGGCUAGAGUUCGGUAGGGGAGACUGGAAUUCCUGGUGUAGCGGUGAAAUGCGCAGAUAUCAGGAGGAACACCGGUGGCGAAGGCGGGUCUCUGGGCAUUACCUGACGCUGAGGAGCGAAAGUGUGGGGAGCGAACAGG